GAUCGGUUUCUGGGUAUUGAAUUUGAUACUGAAAUGAAUGGAGAUAUGAAUGAUUUGAAUGCUAAUCACAUAGGGGUAGAUGUUGGUAGCUUUGUAUCUCUAGCUGUUGGUAAUGUUUCUGAAUUGAAUUUGGUGCUAAAUAGUGGAGAAAAGUUGAAAUGUUGGAUUGAUUAUGAUGCUAGUUCGAAACGAUUGGAGAUUAGGCUAGGCAAGGUGGAUGAAUCGAGGCCUUAUAAUCCGAUUACAGCGUAUGGGAUAGAUUUGUCGGGAAUGUGGAGAGAUGAGGAUGUGUACGUAGGUAUUAGCUCGUCAAAUUCGAAUGGCAAUUCGUCGCAGAUUAGCAGUGUGUAUUCAUGGAAUUUUAGGCUUAGAAAUGUUCCCAAGUCCAUGCAUUCUCUGCCGGUGAAUCCGAGGGUGUAUUUGGAUGGUCACGGUAAGAGUUUGAGCAUGGAUAAACGAGGGGUUUGCCCUUUGACAGUUCUUGCUGGGAUGAUCUUCGUGACUGGGUGUGGAGCACUGGUGGCAUUUGUGGUGCUGUUUUUGUCGGCUAUUAUCAUCAGUAGGCACACGGAGUUCCCUGCUGAGUUGCCUGCAAAGCCUGUGGAUUUUAGGUAUGAGAAGAUCGAUGUAGUUGUAGAGAAAGAUGCCAAUGGUGUUAAGAAGUAGAGCGUAAGGUCUGUAAGGUCUUUAAGGGCGUGGCUUUAUUUUUUUUUUCUGUGAAUGUAUGUUGCAAAUCUUGUUUGUGAUCUCUAACCCGAAAAUGUGAUGAAUUCUGUUGUUCUGGUGUACCUUGCUGUGUUUCCUGCAAGGGCUGUGGAUCUCAAGUAUGAGAAGAUCAAUGUAGUCGUAGAGAAAGAUGCUGAUGGUGUUAAGAAGUAGAGCAUAAAGCAUUAAAAGGUGUGACCUUUUUUUCGCUGUGAAUCUAUGUCGGAAAUGUUGAUUGGAAUUUCUAGCCUGAACAAACGUGAUGAAUGCUGUUGUUCUGGUGUGAAUUCUGAUAGCAAAUUGUAAUGCAAUUAGGUCAGAUGAUCACAUAUGUUGUGUAUAUAUGUGGCUCUGUUU
rnacentral:lncRNA from 1 species